UACGUGAGGGUGCGAGCGUUAAUCGGAAUUACUGGGGCGUAAAGCGUGCGCAGGCGGUUCGUUGUGUCGGCGGUGAAAGCCCCGGGCUUAACCUGGGAAUGGCCGUUGAAACUGGCGAACUGGAGUGUGGCAGAGGGGGGGUGGAAUUCCGCGUGUAGCAGUGAAAUGCGUAGAGAUGCGGAGGAACACCGAUGGCGAAGGCAGCCCCCUGGGCUAGCACUGACGCUCAGGCACGAAAGCGUGGGGAGCAAACAGG
rnacentral:rRNA from 1 species